rnacentral:lncRNA from 1 species
ACCAAACAACGGUUCUCACGGUAGCCUGAAUCAUCUUCUGAAGGCACCAUUUUACCAGCCGUCGCAUGCAGAGGAAUUGUCAAAGUCUGCUGGCUGUGGUUUUACUACUCCAUUGCCUAAGGACUCACUAAACUGCUCCUGCCUCGCACUGCAGACUUCUGGUCAAGAAGAGCAAGUCAACCAAAGACUAAAUCUCAGUGGAGGAGAGGGUAAGUCAGCAGCGACUGCGACGCUGAGAGCUGACGGCACACAACAUCACCCUUUGAGGUUUCCCAAACUGAGCUCACGAAGACUUUUGAGUGUAGGUUUUUUGGUCGCUGUAGAAGAGGAACAAGCAAGCAGACAGAAAUCUAAUAUCAGAUAUCAGAGCAGCUAGACUGGAGCUGCAGUGUCCCCAGGACAUCCUUUCAGUGCUGUGUCCCAUCCAUGUCUGCUAGUCCCUGGCUAAGAAACGAACAGAUGAAAGGCCUGGGCUUGUACCUGACCUCUGUAGCUGUCCUGCUGUCUGACCUGGGGCCAAUCAUUUGGUUUCUCUGGCCUCCAUCUCUUCAUCUUUCGUCUCAGCAACAGAGAAGACAAAUUUGCCAUUUGGGAGGCCCAGGGUGAUACAGAAGAACAAAGACCACUGUCUGCUUUACCACAGGGAAUACGUCAGUGGGUUUGGGAAAGCUAUGAAGAUGCCCAUGUGGAGUUCAUACACCGUUCCCAAGCCG